rnacentral:rRNA from 1 species
GAUGAACGCUGGCGGCGUGCCUAAUACAUGCAAGUCGAGCGAACAGAUGAGGAGCUUGCUCCUCUGACGUUAGCGGCGGACGGGUGAGUAACACGUGGAUAACCUACCUAUAAGACUUGGAUAACUUCGGGAAACCGGAGCUAAUACCGGAUAAUAUAUUGAACCGCAUGGUUCAAUAGUGAAAGACGGUUUUGCUGUCACUUAUAGAUGGAUCCGCGCCGCAUUAGCUAGUUGGUAAGGUAACGGCUUACCAAGGCAACGAUGCGUAGCCGACCUGAGAGGGUGAUAGGCCACACUGGAACUGAGACACGGUCCAGACUCCUACGGGAGGUAGCAGUAGGGAAUCUUCCGCAAUGGGCGAAAGCCUGACGGAGCAACGCCGCGUGAGUGAUGAAGGUCUUCGGAUCGUAAAACUCUGUUAUUAGGGAAGAACAAAUGUGUAAGUAACUAUGCACGUCUUGACGGUACCUAAUCAGAAAGCCACGGCUAACUACGUG